rnacentral:rRNA from 1 species
GACGAACGCUGGCGGCGUGCUUAACACAUGCAAGUCGAACGGAAAGGCCCUGCUUUUGUGGGGUGCUCGAGUGGCGAACGGGUGAGUAACACGUGAGUAACCUGCCCUUGACUUUGGGAUAACUUCAGGAAACUGGGGCUAAUACCGGAUAGGCGCUCCUGCUGCAUGGUGGGGGUUGGAAAGGUUCGGCGGUUGGGGAUGGACUCGCGGCUUAUCAGCUUGUUGGUGGGGUAGUGGCUUACCAAGGCUUUGACGGGUAGCCGGCCUGGGAGGGUGACCGGCCACAUUGGGACUGGGAUACGGCCCAGACUCCUACGGGAGGCAGCAGGGGGGAAUAUUGCACAAUGGGCGGAAGCCUGAUGCAGCAACGCCGCGGGCGGGAUGACGGCCUUCGGGUUGUAAACCGCUUUCGCCUGUGACGAAGCGUGAGUGACGGUAAUGGGUAAAGAAGCACCGGCUAACUACGUG